AGAAGAGGAAUCAGUCAGGAGCUAUUAACAGUUUAAUUGAUACGCUUUUAUGAAGAAGUGGGUUUUUAACAAUUUUUUUUUAAGGAGUGCAGACUGGGUGAGCAUCUAACGGAGGAAGGAAGCGAGUUCCACAGGAACGGUGCAGCCCUCGAGAAAUCUUGAAGGCGAGCAUCAGAGGUGGGAGUACGGACAGAAGAUAGACGUAAGUCUUCAG